rnacentral:rRNA from 1 species
GAACGCGAAGAACCUUACCAAGGUUUGACAUCCUGCGAAGGUCUCCGAAAGGAGACUGUGCCUUGUGAGCGCAGUGACAGGUGUUGCAUGGCCGUCGUCAGCUCGUGUCGUGAGAUGUUUGGUUAAGUCCAUCAACGAGCGCAACCCUUAUAGUUAGUUAAAUUUCUCUAGCUAGACUGCCCCGGCAACGGGGAGGAAGGAGGGGAUGAUGUCAGGUCAGUAUUACCCUUACACCUUGGGCUAGAAACACGCUACAAUGGCCAGUACAAAGGGCAGCCAAGUCGCAAGACGGAGCAAAUCCCAUCAAAGCUGGUCUCAGUUCGGAUAGCAGGCUGAAACUCGCCUGCUUGAAGUUGGAAUCGCUAGUAACGGUAGGUCAGCACCCUACCGUGAAUACGUUCCCGGGUCUUGUACACACGC